AACGCGAAGAACCUUACCAAGGCUUGACAUACACGAGAACAUCCCAGAAAUGGGGGACUCUUUGGACACUCGUGAACAGGUGGUGCAUGGUUGUCGUCAGCUCGUGUCGUGAGAUGUUGGGUUAAGUCCUGCAACGAGCGCAACCCUCGUUCUAUGUUGCCAGCACGUAAUGGUGGGAACUCAUGGGAUACUGCCGGGGUCAACUCGGAGGAAGGUGGGGAUGACGUCAAAUCAUCAUGCCCCUUAUGUCUUGGGCUUCACGCAUGCUACAAUGGCCGGUACGAAGGGCUGCAAUACCGUGAGGUGGAGCGAAUCCCAAAAAGCCGGUCCCAGUUCGGAUUGAGGUCUGCAACUCGACCUCAUGAAGUCGGAGUCGCUAGUAAUCGCAGAUCAGCAACGCUGCGGUGAAUACGUUCCCGGGUCUUGUACACACCG
rnacentral:rRNA from 1 species